CCGUAUAAGAUGAAAAGAAAUGGAUGGCCUGACCUAGAUCCCGCAUCCCAUCCUAAACAUUGCUGUCGCCGCCGCAGCCGCAGCCGACGCUCCGACGGCCAGCUUCCAUUCGUCGGAAUUGAGUCUAAGGGGAAGACACUUCGAUCUUUCUGCCGCAGGGGUGGAGAAAUGCAGGCGCGGCAGUUCUUGAAUGUGGUGAUGCAGAGGUAUGGCAGAGGCGGCUUGUAUACGGCGACUCGCAUCAAGCCAGAUGAGCAACUCUUCUACCGAUCCACGGAGGAAGCACUAGCAGCAAAAAUAUCGGCGCCAUCCCACUCGACUGUGGUGUUGCCAUCAUCAACCGUAGUGCCACCAUGGAUGGAGACGAUGUCGCGGAUGCCCUCGCCCAGGCUCAGAUUCGAGAGAUCUAUCUUAGACGACAAAAGGCUCGAUUUCUUGCCCUUCUGUGAGGGGGGCACAGGUGGUGAUAGCAAGAUCCUCUGCAUGGACGCUGCGGGCCACACUGUCCUAUAUGACAUUGAUGCCGGCUCCCUCCAGCCAAUUCCCUGCCUCAGCAGUCCCAAAGGAUCCAGCCCCAUCGGCAUCUCCAUCGCUAAUCCGGACAUGCCUGCUCGCCAGCGUGGUGACGCCUUCUACGUUAUGGGCAGGUUCCCCACGAGCCGCAAUCCAUGCAACUUUGAGGCACUCAAGUACAUCGACCCUUCCAGCAGUGGGAAGCUUAAAGGUUGGCAGUGGCACCAGCUCCCUAUGCUGCCGGCGCAUGUUGAUUUUUCCAUUGUGAAGUGCCAUACACUCCUUGAAGUUGAUGGUGACCCAGUAAUUGUCGUCUCAUCUCCAAAACAAAAUGGCGUUGGCACCUACUGCUUCAACGCGGUCAGCUGCAAGUGGUUUAAGGCUGGCAGUUGGACACUUCCCUUCUUCAGCCGUGCUGAGCAGAUACCAGAGCUCGGCAACCUCUGGUUUGGCAUAACCAGUGAUGCACCCAACCACUUCUGUGCAAUGGACCUCUCCUCUGUUAGCUCGGAUAGAGCUCCGUCUUUGCAACACAGUUGGCAAGACCUUGAUCUGCCUAAUGACUGGGUGAUGCUAGAUUGCAGCUUUGUGUACUUGGGAGCUGGGAGGUUUUGUAUCACCAAAGUCUUCGAGUUUGGUAUUGAUGAAGAGACUGGUUAUCCGGCUGAGAUGGGUGCUGUGAUAUCAGGUGUGGAGGUGGUGCACAAAAAAAGACUCCAGAUGGUCAAACAUAAGUCCAAAUUCUACAACUUCAUCAGAGACGACAUUGUGUGCGUCUUCUAAGCUGGGACACAAUUCUAGAAUAUUGAAUUCUGGAAUCUGGAUUCCAGGUUCCUUGGUUCUCUCUAGUCGGUGAAUCUUCAUUGCUGUGUCUCUUCGCCUCUUCAUUCUAGAAAAUCUGGAUCCAAGGACUUUCUCCAAGAAAGAUCAUCAGAUCAGAUUAGAAGAUGGCGUUCAGACUUAAACUGGCCCAAGAUAUUGGUGGUUCUGAAUAUGAACAGAUCCAAGCGAAUAAAGGAGUUUCAAAUCCCGUUGAGAGAAACAGGAGUAUGUACUCUUUUAUAAAUAGUGUAAAGAGGAACAAGCUGAACUCAAAGGCAGUGGAUAAGCUCGUGUACAUCUACGGGAACAUACGCUCAAAGCCGCAAGAUCACUAGCUCUAAGAGAUUGGAUAACUGGAGUACCAAUUGCUUUUUGAACCAUAUGAAGUUCUCAACUUGCUUAGCAUUUCCAAUAUAUAUUAGUUAGUUGCGAUUUUUUCAGCGCACUGUGUGAACUUAGUACUGAACUUGAUACGCUUUUAGCCUAAAGUUGUGAACUUACGUGUUUAAGUCUAAAUUCCUAAGUUAUUGUA